GAAGGAUCAUUAAUGAUUGACCCUCUGGGUCUUAUCUUAACAUCCCUCACCUCUGUGAACCGUUUGACCUCUGGGUCUUACAAAAAACCAUAACAAACAUCAGUGUAAAGAACGUCUUGUUAUCUUAACAAAAACAAAACUUUCAACAACGGAUCUCUUGGCUCUCGCAUCGAUGAAGAACGCAGCGAAAUGCGAUAAGUAAUGUGAAUUGCAGAAUUCAGUGAAUCAUCGAAUCUUUGAACGCACCUUGCGCCUUUUGGUAUUCCGAAAGGCAUGCCUGUUUGAGUGUCAUGAAAUCUCAAUCCCAUCUGGUUUAUGACCGGGUGUUGGACUUGGACAUGGGCGUCUGCCGGUCAAACGGCUCGCCUCAAAUGACUUAGUGGGAUCGCUCGCAUCCGUGACAGACGUAAUAAGUUUCGUCUUGUCCCUUGCUCUGCGUACGCCUGCUCAGAACCAAGCUGUCUUGCCUUCAUUGGCCUGACGCACUUUUUUUUGACUCUGACCUCAAAUCAGGUAGGACUACCCGCUGAACUUAA
rnacentral:misc_RNA from 1 species